GAUGAACGCUGGCGGCGGGCCUAACACAUGCAAGUCGAGCGGCAGCGAGGGGUGCUUGCACCCUGUCGGCGAGCGGCGGACGGCCGAGUAACGCGCGGGAACGUGCCCCAAAGUGAGGAAUAACUGACCGAAAGGGAAGCUAAUACCGCAUCGUAUCUUCGGAAUAAAGGAGUUAUCCGCUUUGGGAGCGGCUCGCGUCGGAUUAGGUAGUUGGUGAGGUAAUGGCUCAACAAGCCGACGAUCCGUAGCCGGUCUGAGAGGAUGACCCGCCAGACUGGAACUGCGACACGGUCCAGACUCCUACGGGAGGCAGCAGUGAGGAAUCUUCCACAAUGGGCGAAAGCCUGAUGGAGCAACGCCGCGUGCAGGACGAAGGCCUUCGGGUUGUAAACUGCUUUUAUAAGUGAGGAAUAUGACGGUAACUUAUGAAUAAGGAUCGGCUAACUACGUG
rnacentral:rRNA from 1 species